rnacentral:rRNA from 1 species
UACAGAGGGUGCGAGCGUUAAUCGGAAUUACUGGGCGUAAAGCGCACGUAGGCGGCUUUGCAAGUCGGGUGUGAAAUCCCCGGGCUCAACCUGGGAACUGCAUCCGAGACUGCAUUGCUAGAGUAUGGGAGAGGGAAGCGGAAUUUCUGGUGUAGCAGUGAAAUGCGCAGAUAUCAGGAGGAACACCGGUGGCGAAGGCGGCACUCUGGGCCGGUACUGACGCUGAGGAGCGAAAGCGUGGGGAGCGAACAGG